CAGUAGCCGCGGUAAUACGAAGGGUGCAAGCGUUAAUCGGAAUUACUGGGCGAAAAGCGUGCGUAGGCGGUGAGUUAAGUCUGCUGUGAAAUCCCCGGGCUCAACCUGGGAAUGGCAGUGGAUACUGGCUCGCUAGAGUGUGUCAGAGGAUGGUGGAAUUCCCGGUGUAGCGGUGAAAUGCGUAGAGAUCGGGAGGAACAUCAGUGGCGAAGGCGGCCAUCUGGGACAACACUGACGCUGAGGCACGAAAGCGUGGGGAGCAAACAGGAUUAGAUACCCCAGUAGUCCCUGUCUCUUAUAC
rnacentral:rRNA from 1 species